rnacentral:rRNA from 1 species
AUGGCCAAGGACAUCGAGGCGGCGCCCCCCGGCGGGGAGUACGGGGCCAAGGACUACUCCGACCCACCGCCGGCGCCGCUCUUCGACGCCGAGGAGCUGACCAAGUGGUCCCUGUACCGCGCGGUCAUCGCCGAGUUCGUGGCCACGCUGCUCUUCCUCUACAUCACCGUGGCCACCGUCAUCGGGUACAAGCACCAGGCGGACCCCGCCGGCCCCAAUGCUGCCGACGCGGCCUGCAGCGGCGUCGGCAUCCUCGGCAUCGCCUGGGCGUUCGGCGGCAUGAUCUUCGUGCUCGUCUACUGCACCGCCGGCGUCUCGGGUGGCCACAUCAACCCGGCGGUGACGUUCGGGCUGUUCCUGGCGCGUAAGGUGUCGCUGGUGCGCGCGCUGCUCUACAUCAUCGCGCAGUGCCUGGGCGCCAUCUGCGGAGUGGGGCUCGUCAAGGGGUUCCAGAGCGCCUUCUACGUGCGCUAUGGCGGCGGCGCCAACGAGCUCAGCUCCGGCUACUCCAAGGGCACCGGCCUCGCCGCCGAGAUCAUCGGCACCUUCGUACUCGUCUACACCGUCUUCUCCGCCACCGACCCCAAGCGCAGCGCCCGUGACUCCCACGUCCCGGUGCUGGCUCCUCUGCCGAUCGGCUUCGCGGUGUUCAUGGUGCACUUGGCCACUAUCCCGAUCACCGGCACCGGCAUCAACCCAGCAAGGAGCUUUGGAGCUGCCGUGAUCUACAACAACGAGAAGGCCUGGGAUGACCACUGGAUCUUCUGGGUGGGGCCAUUCAUCGGGGCCGCCAUCGCAGCCGCCUACCACCAGUACGUCCUGAGGGCCAGCGCCACCAAGCUCGGCCCGUCUGCCUCCUUCGGCAGGAGCUAG